rnacentral:misc_RNA from 1 species
UUUCCGUAGGUGAACCUGCGGAAGGAUCAUUAAAGAGAAUAUGCCCUUCGGGGUAGAUCUCCCACCCUUUGUUUAUAUUACCUUUGUUGCUUUGGCAGGCCCGUCUUCGGACCACCGGCUUUGGCUGGUCAGUGCUUGCCAGAGGACCCAAAACUCUUAUUAUUAAUGUCGUCUGAGUACUAUAUAAUAGUUAAAACUUUCAACAACGGAUCUCUUGGUUCUG